UGCUUUGAGGUACACCGGGCUGUCAAGUGU
rnacentral:piRNA from 2 species